AAGAUUUUAUAACGUUAAUAUUGACGCUAAUUUUAAAGGCAAGUUCCAAAGAGUUUCGCUAGAGUUUUUUAAGAUUUUUCAACAGAAGUUCCUAAAAAAGAUGUUUAAUUAUAAAAUAAAACAUUUUUUGCAACAAAUAAACUAGUUUCUAUUUUUCAAAAUCUUUAAAACACGAACGAUAAAUAUGGUCAUAAUUACAAAACGAUUUAAAUGUUGGUGGAACAAAGGCAUAAAUGUACACCUUAUUUUGAAAAAAAUAUUAAUAGUAAUUAACAAAAAAUAUUUGGCACUUGCAAACUACAUGGCCAUAUUCACAAAUAAAUAGGUCGUAUUUCAUACAAAGAACAAACACUUUGAAGCAGUACAAAGACGAAUAAUACGACUCGGAAUGUAAAAAAAACUUUAAAAUGGCUCUCCUGUAAAAUUACAAAAAGUGG
rnacentral:misc_RNA from 1 species